rnacentral:lncRNA from 1 species
AUGAUAUAAAGUAAUAUAUAUAUAUAUAUAUAUAUAUAUAUAGAGAGAGAGAGAGAGAGAGAGAGAGAGAGAGGGUUGGUAUGCUUAUGGAAGGACGGGGCCUUCUGUGCUUCCAAGUUGUUUUCGAUGUUCGGACUUUCGAAUCGACGAUCGGCUCCGUUAGAGUUGAUUUAGAGUAUUUGAAAUGCCUAGAAAAUAAAUUUUGUGAUUUUUCGAUAUCAUUUGCCUAGUGAUCGAAGGGGCUCAAAAUCAAUAAUUUUAAAGGCCGUGGUGAGCCGGUUGCAAGUUUAACGGUGUAGAAAUAUCCAAAUCACAUGAAAUUUUGAUAAAAAAUUCUUUAUACCAUAUAAAACAAGAUCAAUAACUUUGAUCUAAAAUUUUAAUGUCAUAUCAUCGUAUUUUGUAAGAUUUUUAUUUUCAGCCGUUGAUUUUGAGCUACUUCGAUCACUAGGCAAAUGAUAUCGAAAAAUCGCAAAAUUUAUUUUCUAGAUACUUUAAAUACACUAGAUCAAGUCUAACAGAGCCGAUCGUCGAUUCGAAAGUCCGAACAUCGAAAACAAAGUGGAAGCACGGAGCCCUCCGUGUUUUCAUAAGCAUUCUAGCCGCACUCUAUAAAUAUAUAUAUAUAGAGAGAGAGCUAGGCUCCUAUGCUUUCAAAAGUACGGAGGUCUCCGUGCUUGUAAGUUAUUUUCGAUGAUGGGACAUCCGAUUCGGCGAUCGGUUCCGUUAAACUUGAUCUACGUUAUUGGAACUAUCUAGAAACCAAAUUUCAUAAUUUUUUGAUUUCGUUUGUCUAGUGAACGAAUAGCCUCAAAAUGAACGGCCGAAAAUAAAAAUCUCAUAAAAAAUAAUGAUAAAGGAUUCAAAUUUCAAAUCGGAAGUAUUGAUCUUGCUAUUGAUAUUAAGUAGAAUUUUUUAUUAAAUUUUUUAGUAAUUUGGAUACUUCUACACUGUUGAACUUAAAAACAUGCCACAUCGGCCGUUAAAAUAGUUAUUUUUGAGAACUUUUGAUCGCUUGGUAAAUGAUGUCAAAAAAUUAUAAAAUUUGAUUUCUAGAUAGUUCCGAUAGGGUAGAUUAUACUUAACGGAGCCGAUCGUCGAAUCGGAUGUUCUAUCAUUGAAAAUAACUUACAAGCACGGAGGUCUCCAUACUUUCGAAAGUAUAGGAGACGUACUCUAUAUAUAUAUAAUAAUAAUAAAAUAGAAUAAUGGCAACAAAAAUUGUAAACUAAGGGCGCGUUUGGUUCGAAGUCGGAAUCGAAAUCGGAAUCGGAAUCAAAAUAAGCUGGAAUCGGAAUCGGAAUGACUCAUUACCUAAUUCUGUUUGGUUCAUUACCUGAAUCGGAAUCGGAAUAAAUCAUUCCCAUUGUCGGUGUUUGGUUCAGGCGGAUAUAAAAAAUAUAAUCAAAUUAAUAUACUAACAUUAUCUUUAUAAUAUAUUAAUUUAAAUUCAAAUUAAAAAUUAAAUAUUAAAAAUUUACAUCAAAAUUUUGAAAUAAUGUCUAAAUUUUAAAUCUAUUUUUUUUAAAAAAAAUUAAACUUUGAAGUUGAGUGGAUAAUUUAAAAUAUGAAACUAAAUUUUGAUUUAUUCAAAUUAUAAUUUAAAAUUAUAAUUUAAAUUUUAAUUUGAAUA